GGUGGACAAACCGGAGGAAGGUGGGGGAUGACGUCAAGUCCUCAUGGCCCUUAUGGGUAGGGCUUCACACGUCAUACAAUGGUCGGGACAGAGGGUUGCCAACCCGCAGGGGGAGCUAAUCCCAUAAACCCGAUCGUAGUCCGGAUUGCAGUCUGCAACUCGACUGCAUGAAGUCGGAAUCGCUAGUAAUCGCGGAUCAGCAUGUCGCGGUGAAUACGUUCCCGGGUCUU
rnacentral:rRNA from 1 species